UACGAAGGGGGCGAGCGUUGUUCGGAUUUACUGGGCGUAAAGGGCGCGCAGGCGGUUCUGUUUGUCGAGUGUGAAAGCCCCGGGCUCAACCUGGGAACUGCGCUCGAAACGGCGGAACUAGAGUUCGGCAGGGGAGACUGGAAUUCCUGGUGUAGCGGUGAAAUGCGCAGAUAUCAGGAGGAACACCGGUGGCGAAGGCGGGUCUCUGGGCCGAUACUGACGCUGAGGAGCGAAAGCGUGGGGAGCGAACAGG
rnacentral:rRNA from 1 species